rnacentral:rRNA from 1 species
UACGUAGGGUCCGAGCGUUGUCCGGAAUUACUGGGCGUAAAGAGCUCGUAGGUGGUUUGUCGCGUUGUUCGUGAAAACUCACAGCUUAACUGUGGGCGUGCGGGCGAUACGGGCAGACUUGAGUACUGCAGGGGAGACUGGAAUUCCUGGUGUAGCGGUGAAAUGCGCAGAUAUCAGGAGGAACACCGAUGGCGAAAGGCAGGUCUCUGGGACGGUACUGACGCUGAGACGCGAAAGCGUGGGGAGCAAACAGG